UGUCCAUUUGUUGCGUUUCACAUUUCGCUUUAAAAAAAACAGGCCCGCGGGUGGCGUUUCCGAAAUAGCUAAUUUAACCAAAAGCAAAGAAAAUAAUACUUUCGUAAGUGUUUUAACUAAAGGCAAGGCGUCAUAAUAAAUAACUAAAGGCAAGGUGACAUAAUAAUAGCGGGUAAUGUAAAUAAGGAGUCGAAUGAUUUCAAUUAUUUUAUUUGACUUACUAAUAUUACAAAACAGUUAUACAAAUUAAUCACUGUACAAUCCGAAGCGAAUAACCACUAAAUCGAGUCAUCCAUGUUGCACAAAUAUUCCUAUUAUAUUGUACUGUUACAUUUGUUUUGUAUGCCUCGUAAAAUCCUGUGCAAAUAUUCAUCCCCAACUUUGUUUUCUAAAACGAAUUUGACAUUACUAUAUUCAUACCAUUUCGAAUACAACCUCUAGCCGCCCAUACAACCUUGCCAAGCAAAAUGAAAUUUUAUUUUGUCAACACAAAGUUCAAAUUAGAAUGGAACAGGAGAACUUUUUAUAGGUCUCUUGACGGCUAGAGGAUAAAGGCGGCGAACACAAUUUAUAGGUGAUAUGAAUGUGACUUGUAAAGGCGUCCGCUAGCUGGCGUGGUAGCACGGAGCGGGUGGUACAGUCGCCAUCAGAUAUAUCGGAACGGCCGAGGUGCUCAAAAAUAUCUGAACGCGCACUCCAACGCCUUGACAAUAGAGGCGUGUUCAGAUAUUUGUGAGCACCUUGGGCGCUCCGAUAUAUCUGAUGGCGACUGUACAAUGGCACCCGCGUGCGUGCGUCCUAAAAAGCCCGAGACAUUUCUAUUUGGGUAUAGCGGGGUCCCUUUGUUACCCAUAAAGUUUUAAGUCAUAUAUUGUUAGUCAUACCAUUAGCCAUAAAACUGAAACCGUUAAGUUUUCAGGAUUUUCUUAAGGUUAUCCUACAGAUAGGUUAGGUUUGUUUUAUGACAAUCCUGAAAAGUGACCUGUCUCUGAACCAAAUAAAAAGAACAACGAAAAUGCGGGCAAACAAUAGGUACAUUAUGGCAUAAAACUUAUUGGGAAUCAACAGAGACCCAUACUGCCCUGCUAAGGCGAAAAGCGCAAUCCAAAAACAAAUGAUUUUGAAAAUGGAAUUCUCAGUUAUAGAAACUAUAAAGUAUAAAUUAGCAAUGGAUUUUCUUUUGAGAUAGCGCCACUUGGCUUAGCAGGGCAGCAUAGCGCAUUUCAAUUCUCAUAAACAACAUUAAACGUCGAGCCUACAAUAAUGUUUAUAUCAAAUUUUAAGUCUCACGUGUACCUGUAUUUUGUAAUGUUCCUAAAAGUAAUAAAUGUAACAAUAAUAUUGGCACAAUGUUUAGAAUUGGUUAAAAUCGAGUCGUUUUAUUCUUUAGUUACAUAGAAAAUUCAGGAAAUCAUUCAAUGGACAAAAAACAAAGUGAUAGUUAACAUUACGGAAUAUGGUACAUCUGUUUAAUUAAUGUUUACAGACAAAUUAUCACACAUUUUGUUUGCGCUUUGUUUCCUUAUUUUGACUAGUUCGUGUAGUAAUAAUUGAAUUUACAACAAAUCGUUUAGUUCAAUUGUCAAAUCUUUCAUUACAACAUUCACAACACACCAUGGAAUGUUUUGUGACGUCUUUUGAUGUACGUACUGGCAAUUAUAUACAAAAAUCCCAUUUUAAUAAAAUAAAAACAUCUAAUUAACUAAUCUUAUCUCGGAUAGGUCAUAGCAUAGCUUAUUGUAUUGUGGAAGCAGUUGAGUUGUAGUCUGGCCAUGGAAACGCAUUAUACUGAAAAUUGCUACAAAAUAAAAAAAGUUGCUAGUUUUCUUUAGGAUAUCUCACAAGUCGAAAUAAGGUCUAGGUAGGCAAAUGACGUAUAAAACGUAUCCCUUACCACUCAAGUACAUAAUAUGUACUAUAUUAUGGUCUCCGAGAAUAAAAAUAAAAUAAAUGAGUAAACCCAUUCAUAAUUUUGAAAAAGAAACUAAAUAACAAUCGUACAGUUCAGCUGUCAGUAAAAUUUGCUAUCUUAUAAAUAGAGUAAGGCGCAUUUUUCUAAUGUUCUCGAAUAUUGAGAUAAAUUUUUAGGGUUUCGGAAAAGCGAGAAACAAUAUUGAAUUGUAUUGGUGCAGUAAAAAUUAUGUACUUCACUUUACUAAUGUUCAUCGAACAUUAAAAAAAAACUACGCCAGCGAACAAGAUUUACAAUGAAUCAAUUUCCAUUCAAAAAAUAUAUCCUAAAAGAUCAAUAUCACGAUUCGAUAGCCAAACUUUACUCAAACUGCCGAAAAAAUAUAUGCUGCAGUGGAAUCGGUACAAAACCAGCUUUUUAUACUUUUAUCUAACAUAAGUAAUUAAGGUUAUGAGGCAAGAGAAACACUGGGAAAAGACAAACACUUGUAGGGAAUUCUGACACUGUUUCCCUUGUCUCGAGCAAAAUAAGCUGUUUCUCUAAAGGGGCCCACAGAUUACCGGUUCGCCUGACGAUAUCAGCCUGUCAGUUAAAUGCAAAAGGUGACAGUUCCGAGCAACUGACAGGUUGAUAUCAUCCGAACUGGUAAUCUGUGGGCCCCUUUACCCCCAUAACCUUGUCUAGUUUAAGAACGUAUCUCCUACGCACCGUAUACUAUAUAAAUACACAAAAGAACAUCGCAUUAAAUACUAUUCACGGCCUUAUAAGUUACGCUGGAACAUAAUAUAUAGGUAUGACAACACUAAUAUAAUCAUAAAUACUGGUUUACGCGUAAAAUAAUGACUACAUGUACAAAAUGUCACUAUAUUAUCUAAAAACUAACUUAAAUACGUGUAUAAUAGUCUUUUUAUUUACAGUAGAUUAUUAACUAACAAUGAUAUGAUAUAUUGAUGAGUACGCAAAUGAGUAAUCGCUUAGUAGUAGGGGCACGGGUGCGGGCGCGAAUCUAAUUGGCAGUGGACGGCGCUAAAAAUGAGCUCUGUGCAAUUUAUAAAACUUGAAAAAAUUACAAUUCUGUUUCAAUCCCUUACUUUCCCGUAUCAGAUCGUGAGUUUAUUGUCUUCGUUCGCUGUCGGAUGUCACUACUUUCUACUUAACGUUAUACUUCUAGGGGCCCUCGUUCGGGUGAGAUCAGAAGUAUUCUAGAACGUAAACCAGCGGCGCCAGCGGGCCGCACGAAGGCGAAACUCAAAUAUGUAUCAAUGGAAACACAAACCCCCUUAUUCAUAAAACUUUACGGACAUGAUUUAGUUAAAAGUUUUAUUUCUUUCUUACAAAAUACGUAAGUCAAAAUGAUAGAUAAAGACAAACGAUUCAUAUCUAAUUCAGGCCAGUAACGCGUUUAUCACCAAAAAAGUUUAGUACGGUCGAGUCAAUAUUGGUACAUUUUUGCUUUGGACCGUCAAUUUUUUAAAACUUUUAUAUUUCACACCGUUUUUAUUUACAAGAAUUGUUUUAUUGAGAUAUCCAUAUUAUGUCGAAUUCUUUUGUUUUUCUUUUUUGUAGAAUGAAAUUAACCAGUUGAAUUAAAAAUGUAGAAACAAGAUAGAACGUAGAAGUGUUACAAUGUCUUUAAAACGUUGGAGUUUAAUUGGUAUCGUAUUAUAACGUUCCUUGUGAGUCAUAAAGUUUUGUUCUUUCUCAGCGGUGGUAGCACGGUCGCAUUUUUAUCGCCUAUCACUAUAGGCAUGUUGACAAUUUUUAGGAACUGUAUUCAUUUUAUAGAUAGACACGUAAUUAUUACAAAAAAAAAUAUUUAAAAUUUUUA